UUACAUUCGGGAUCACAAAUGUAACUGAGAUGCUCGUCCAGACUUGGUUUGAAAGUUCUAGCAGUGUUUCCAAUAGAAGCCAGUCUAAUCAAUCGCCACUUUCACAGGCCAUUCAACUUGAUAGGGAUUCAGAGGUCAGGAUGCGUGACUAGAAGAAGGUGAAAUAACAGGCCUCCUACCUCGAAGCAGACUGUAGUCUGCAUCUCUUUGGUUAAAAAGAGAAAAAUAAUAUGAAGGGUCUCUAGAGUUGAUGCAGUCUAGACUUUAUGGCGGAAUCCAUUCAAAAUAAUUUACGCAAGAGAUGUAACUCUAGAUUUGUUACGACAACGUGAUUAGUAAACUGCACACUAACUACAAAGGUUGGACUGACUUUUGGAUCUG